GUGAGGAAUUUUCCGCAAUGGGCGAAAGCCUGACGGAGCAAUGCCGCGUGAAGGAUGAAGGCCUAUGGGUUGUAAACUUCUUUUCUCAGAAAAGAAUUAUGACGGUAUCUGAGGAAUAAGCAUCGGCUAACUCUGUGCCAGCAGCCGCGGUAAUACGGAGGAUCCAAGCGUUAUCCGGAUUUAUUGGGUUUAAAGGGUGCGUAGGCGGUAGCUUAAGUCAGUGGUGAAAGUUUGCAGCUCAACUGUAAAAUUGCCAUUGAAACUGGGUUACUUGAGUACGGUAGAGGUAAGCGGAAUGCGUAGUGUAGCGGUGAAAUGCUUAGAUAUUACGCAGAACCCCAAUUGCGAAGGCAGCUUACUGGACCGGUUACUGACGCUGAGGCACGAAAGCGUGGGUAUCAAACAGGAUUAGAAACCCGUGUAGUCC
rnacentral:rRNA from 1 species